CUUUUCUUGAACCUUGGUGAUUCAUGUUCAUUUCAUUUUGAAAGGGUAAAACGUGUUUCAAUUUUGGAAUAAUCUUAUUUCACAUGGCUUUUAGCUAAUAAUGCUAUUCCUUCUGGCUAGGCACUUGGAUGAAGCCAACCAAUUGACUUUUAGGAGAAUAACUUUUAUAAUUUUAUUAUAGAAAAUUAUACAAAAAUGAGAAUAAUUAACUUUUUUUCUCAUUUCAAUUAUUGUAAAAUUUACCAUCAAUUUUGUUUCAUUUAAACCUUUAGCCAUGAACUCCUUGCCAUUCCCUCAUUAGUAUAAUAAAUCAGUAUGUUUCCCUAGAAAGGUAAUGACUGUUGAGAAAUUAACCAUAGUAUCAUUAUUAUAUCAAAUACCUUAAUAGCAAGUAGUGAGUGUUCAAACACUCACUAAUCAUAUUUGUCACCUCAUUAGAUUGCUAUGGUUUUACUUCACAAUUUAACUGAUAAAGUUUGUGUUAGGAGUAAGGUGUUUGCAUUACUUUUUGUUAGGUAUACCUGCAUAUAUUGUGGUUGCUAGAAAUGUGUUACUUCCCCUCCCUACCCAUAUUUUUCCCUUGUAGUUUAUUUGUUGGAUAAACUGCUUCAUUUUUACUACACUUUCCCAAUUUGGGUUGUUCUAGUUGUACCCCAAAUAUGCCUCUCCACAUUUUCUAUAAAUUAGUAGAAAUAUCUGUAGUUUUUAAUUAGAUUCAGAUUUUAUUUUUGGCCAAGAUUACUUAAAAGGUGGUGUAUAUUCUUUCACUAGAAGGCACUUAAUGCCAGUUUUUCUAUUUUGAUAUUAGCAGCCAUUUGAUAGUCAAUACUUAGACAAUUAACAGGGAACUUUCUCAAUGUCUAUAUUUGUUAACAUACCAUGUGCUUUGAUAUUAUGUCCUACCAAAUGUUUCUUUUACUUCCGUUUUGCACAUUGGAAAACCAGUCCAUAUUCAAAGUCCAGUUCAAAUGAUAGAUUUAUGAAAGUUUCUUCUUAGAAUUAGUAACUGCUGCCUAUAUCCUUUGUUUCAAGUUCCAUUCAUCACAACUCACUUCACAUUUUAUCAUUUUAUUCUAGUUUUUGCUUAUCUUUCCUAGACUCUCCAUUAAAAAUUCAUAUAUACUUAAAUUAUAUUUGUGGUACUAUAGCAACUUGACUAUAUACAUUAUAAAAAUGGCAAUUUUAACUGAUGGAAUAAUUUUUUAAGAUUAAUGUUUUGUUAUUAAAGCGAUAAUAAAGAAAACCUUAAUUAUUUUGGUAAUAACUGUCUUUCAUCUUUGAAAUUAACCUUUUUUCUUACUAAAAACAUUGGAAAAAGCACAUGAUUGUGCUUCAUUUGUUUUUUCUUCUUGGUUUUAUACUUUGUGAUUCAAUGAUUUAACAAUAAUAUAUAUUACUACUUGGUUAAGUGUGUUAGCCAAAAUGCUACCUAUGAAACCUAACUAGAUUCAAAAGGAAGAAGCAAUAUUAUUGGGAACUUCAACAGUAUUCAUCCCAACUCCUCUUUUUAGACUCUUUAUAGAGCUUGUUUUUAUGUGCAAGGUUUUUGGAUUUUUUAGUGCCUUCCUAAUGACAAUCAUGUUACCUUGGGCAUUAGGUUGUUUCAGCCCAGUAUAGGUUUAGUGUGAUGUAUGUGUGUGUGUGUGUGUGUAUAUAUAUAUAUUGUAGUUAGACACAGUGUCUUACUUUUAUUUUAUUUAUUUUUAUGUAGUGUGAGGAUCGAACCCAGGACUUGCACAUGCUAGGUGAGCGCUCUACCGCCAAGCCACAACCCCAGCCCUAGUGUGAGGUUUAUUGUUAAUGAGUAAAUAUAAAUCUGUAUUUUAGUUGAUCUCCUGAUGUAUUUGAUUUUUUUAAUCAAUUUGUCAUCUCAUUAGAUUGCCAUAGUUUUAUUUCACGAUGUAACUGAUAAAGUUUGUGUUAGGAAUAAGGUGUUUGCAUUAUUUUUUGUUAAGUGUACCUGUAUUGGUAUUAUCUUCAUUAUAUCAAUUCUUUUCAGGAAUGAAUCAGUACUUACUGGUAUAUAACAGAUUAGCACUGAUAACCCCAUGUAGUACAUGUGUCAGGUGUUUUUCUUUCACAUGAAACUCCUAUACAGUUCCUCCUUUACAUUUUUAAUUGUUUGUUAAAUUUAAGUAUCAGCUAAUUCAGCUGAGCUCUCCUGUCAUAAGAUGUAUGCAUAUGAGAAGGAAAAACCAAGUUACUACUACUGAAAAAAAAAAAAAAAAACAGUACUGCAGGUGUUUUGUGUGGCAGGUAAAACAUCUGCCCCAUCCUCCAAGUGCUGCUGUCAGAGCCAAUUCUUGUGCACUAUUGAAUAUUGAGUUUAUUGAAUUAUUUUUAAAUAUAAGCAGUGAAAUUUCUUUACUUGAUUUGAUCAUGCAUAUUUCAUGCAUUCUGUGACCUCACUUUGGGAAUUUUUUCUUUUUUGAUCACCUAAAGAUUCAUUCUUGCAUUCCUAACCCUUAGCACAAUGCUUGGAACAUAUUAGAUUUUUAGUAGUUUGUUGGAUAAGAGACUGUGAAGUCUUACCUGAUCCAAAUAGAGCAUUUUUAAUAAAUAUUAGCGAUUAGAAUUAGUGUGGAUAUAAAGGCUUAGAUGUCAUAUUAAGAUAAAAUUAAAGGGAUAGUUUAAAAAUGAAGAAUGAAGGACUGGUAUGUGUAGCUCAUUGGCAAUAACCUUGCUUAGCAUGCAGGAAGCUCCAUAUUGGAUUCCCAACAUUUAUACAUUUAAUUGGAGGGAAAAAUGGGAGUGGGUAUGGGAGCAAAUAAAAGAUUGUAGGUCAUUGCAUUAAUCUUUGAAUGGUGUGAUGUGAUCACUGAAGUUUUUGCAAAAGAAACAAGAAUAUCUUGUCUCACUUUCAGAGAUGGAUUAGGUGUGCACAUAAUGCUUGAUUAACUUUCACAUUUCUAUUCA
rnacentral:lncRNA from 1 species